rnacentral:rRNA from 1 species
GAUGAACGCUGGCGGCGUGCCUAAUACAUGCAAGUCGAGCGAACAGACGAGGAGCUUGCUCCUCUGACGUUAGCGGCGGACGGGUGAGUAACACGUGGAUAACCUACCUAUAAGACUGGGAUAACUUCGGGAAACCGGAGCUAAUACCGGAUAAUAUAUUGAACCGCAUGGUUCAAUAGUGAAAGACGGUUUUGCUGUCACUUAUAGAUGGAUCCGCGCCGCAUUAGCUAGUUGGUAAGGUAACGGCUUACCAAGGCGACGAUGCGUAGCCGACCUGAGAGGGUGAUCGGCCACACUGGAACUGAGACACGGUCCAGACUCCUACGGGAGGCAGCAGUAGGGAAUCUUCCGCAAUGGGCGAAAGCCUGACGGAGCAACGCCGCGUGAGUGAUGAAGGUCUUCGGAUCGUGAAACUCUGUUAUUAGGGAAGAACAAAUGUGUAAGUAACUAUGCACGUCUUGACGGUACCUAAUCAGAAAGCCACGGCUAACUACGUG